rnacentral:lncRNA from 1 species
UAAUUAAGUUUCUUUUAGUUUAUUAAUUUCACCCAUAUACAUAGUUGGUUUUGAAAACAUGAUGUGAAGAGCCAGGACAUAGUGUAACAAAACUGUAUGUGAAAAGGUUUCAAUAUGCAACGUGCCUGUGUACCUACUGUGUUUUGUAUAUACUUUACAUUGAAAACCAAGUAAACCACAGUUUUCAAAGGAAGUACACAUUUUAUUUUGAACUAGCAAAUUUAGUUUAUUAAUAUGUAAAAAAAUAAAUCUACAACAGCAACAGUGCAAACACAUCAGGACUUGCAUGGCAUACAGAACACAAAUGAAUAAAACUUAUUGUACAACGGGCCCAAAGUUUCCUAUGGUACUGGAUGCGACAUAUACCACAAACAACAGAGUGAGGGAUAAACUGCAAGGUAAACAAGAAGAUGAACUGCAUAUUACUGGUUCUGUCUUGUACGGUCUCUCUACUUCAGGAGGGAAAGCUGUCAUGCCUUGGAACGACCAUUCUGCAUUAUCCGUUUUUGAACAUCUCACAUUCAUUGGUAGUUUAAGCACAAGCUCAUUAUAGGAGAGGCCCUCUGAUUUGGACCACUUAAACUUGUUCAUUGCAUCCAUAAAAGAUAGGUUUUUAUAUUGCUUAGGACUCUUGAUAAUAAAAGGCCAAGUCCUGACUGGUCUGUAGAUUUCCUUAACACCGAUGAACUGGAGUUGCUCCAUGAUGUCGGGAAUACUUGCGCACCGGGUGAGGUUGAUUCGUGGGUAAUAGAGCAGAUACGACAGGCACAUUUCAUUCCUGGUGCUCAGACCACCCCAUGUCAUGCGUAUUCGGUCCGUAGUGCUGUAGUGACAUUCUGUGAUUAAAUU